rnacentral:rRNA from 1 species
GACAGAGGGUGCAAACGUUGUUCGGAAUUACUGGGCGUAAAGAGCGCGUAGGCGGUCUGUUAAGUGUAGAGUGAAAUCUCCAGGGCUCAACCCGGAAACUGCUCUGCAUACUGGCAGACUUGAGGGAUGCAGAGGUUUGUGGAAUUCCUGGUGUAACGGUGAAAUGUGUUGAUAUCAGGAGGAACACCCAUGGCGAAGGCAGCAAACUGGGCAUCAUCUGACGCUGAGGCGCGAAAGCGUGGGUAGCAAACAGG